GCUACUGAAUCAUUAUAAAAAUUGAUAACAUAAGAGAAAAUAAUGAUAUUAUCUUAUUAUUAGUGUCGUCCAAAACUGGUGCCAGAAGACUCGGUAAGGCCAGAGACACAAACGUUAAUCGUCUUAAUCAGGCGUAAAGGGUUUGUAGGCGGCUUUUAAUUAAUUAAAAUAUAAAGUUAAGAAUAAAAGCUAGAAUCAAAUAGAGGAUAUAUAAAAAAUGCUUAAAGUAGGUCUGAUAUCCUUAAAUAGUAAGUAGAAUAUUAAAGGCGAAAGCUUUUUUCCAUUAAUGAUUGACGCUCAGAAACGAAGGUGAGGAUAGGAAAUAGGAUUAGAUACCCAAAAUACCCCUCUCUGUCAACGAUGAAUGGUAAUUAUUAAUAAUAAAUUUAUUAAUGAUAAUGUUAACACGAUAACCAUUCCGCCUUGUGAGUACAACUGCAAAGUUGAAAACAAAAAAAUUAGUCGGUUUCGGAGCAAACGAAGUGAAGCAUGUUAUUUAAUCAA
rnacentral:rRNA from 1 species